rnacentral:rRNA from 1 species
GAUGAACGCUGGCGGCGUGCUUAACACAUGCAAGUCGAACGGAAAGGCUCCUGCUUGCAGGGGUACUCGAGUGGCGAACGGGUGAGUAACACGUGGGUGAUCUGCCCUGCACUUCGGGAUAAGCCUGGGAAACUGGGUCUAAUACCGGAUAGGACGAUGGUUUGGAUGCCAUUGUGGAAAGUUUUUUCGGUGUGGGAUGAGCUCGCGGCCUAUCAGCUUGUUGGUGGGGUAAUGGCCUACCAAGGCGUCGACGGGUAGCCGGCCUGUGAGGGUGUACGGCCACAUUGGGACUGAGAUACGGCCCAGACUCCUACGGGAGGCAGCAGUGGGGAAUAUUGCACAAUGGGCGCAAGCCUGAUGCAGCGACGCCGCGUGGGGGAUGACGGCCUUCGGGUUGUAAACUCCUUUCGCUAGGGACGAAGCGCAAGUGACGGUACCUGGAGAAGAAGCACCGGCUAACUACGUG